AUGGCCAUUACCAAUAAGAGAAGCAAUAACAAAAAUUUAAAAAAGAGAUUUAGUGGAGGUGUUGUUUUGCUUCUCCAUAAAGAGAUGGUGUCAGGAGUGUACUAGUCUGCAGAGCAGGGGAAGGUGGGAAAUUCACGCUGUAUUACUAAGCUGGAAAACAUGGGGUUUCGAGUGGGACAAGGAACAAAGGUUUACAAAAGAUACCGUGAGGUUCAAGUAUGAGUUAGAUGUCAUGAACUUCAUUUGGAAAAAUUUCUUGGACUACAGUAUUUAAGAAACAAAUCAUCAGUCUCAGGACAAAUCAUCAGGGCAUCUAUGUACUUCAGAACAAUAAAUUCAGUCUGCUUACUCAGAUGUCUGCAGGAAAACAGUAUUUAGAACGUGCAUCUAAGUAUUUAGCAUUUACAUGUGGCUUACUCGGAGGUAGCUUAUCAAACUUGGGGGUAAACAUUAUUGUAACAGCUAAGGCAUCUUCAAUGCUUGCCUGUAAAUUUCAGGUGAUGAUACAGAAGUUGUACAAUAUACUGAAAUGCAAGGCUUCAACAGUAUAAAGAGUUAAAUUAUUCAUGUAUAAAGUAUUUCAAGUAGCAAUGAUUUAAUUACAUUGUUGGACAUU